AUUGAACGCUGGCGGCAGGCCUAACACAUGCAAGUCGAGCGGAUGAAGGUAGCUUGCUACCUGAUUCAGCGGCGGACGGGUGAGUAAUGCCUAGGAAUCUGCCUGGUAGUGGGGGACAACGUUUCGAAAGGAACGCUAAUACCGCAUACGUCCUACGGGAGAAAGUGGGGGAUCUUCGGACCUCACGCUAUCAGAUGAGCCUAGGUACGAUUAGCUAGUUGGUGAGGUAAAGGCUCACCAAGGCGACGAUCGUUAACUGGUCUGAGAGGAUGAUCAGUCACACUGGAACUGAGACACGGUCCAGACUCCCACGGGAGGCAGCAGUGGGGAUAUUGGACAAUGGGCGAAAGCCUGAUCCAGCCAUGCCGCGUGUGUGAAGAAGGUCUUCGGAUUGUAAAGCACUUUAAGUUGGGAGGAAGGGCAGUAAGUUAAUACCUUGCUGUUUUGACGUUACCGACAGAAUAAGCACCGGCUAACUUCGUGCCAGCAGCCGCAGUAAAAC
rnacentral:rRNA from 1 species